GAGACACGGCCCAGACUCCUACGGGAGGCAGCAGUAGGGAAUCUUCCACAAUGGGCGAAAGCCUGAUGGAGCAACGCCGCGUGAGUGAAGAAGGUUUUCGGAUCGUAAAACUCUGUUGUAAGGGAAGAACAAGUACAGUAGUAACUGGCUGUACCUUGACGGUACCUUAUUAGAAAGCCACGGCUAACUACGUGCCAGCAGCCGCGGUAAUACGUAGGUGGCAAGCGUUGUCCGGAAUUAUUGGGCGUAAAGCGCGCGCAGGCGGUCCUUUAAGUCUGAUGUGAAAGCCCACGGCUCAACCGUGGAGGGUCAUUGGAAACUGGGGGACUUGAGUGCAGAAGAGGAAAGUGGAAUUCCAAGUGUAGCGGUGAAAUGCGUAGAGAUUUGGAGGAACACCAGUGGCGAAGGCGACUUUCUGGUCUGUAACUGACGCUGAGGCGCGAAAGCGUGGGGAGCAAACAGGAUU
rnacentral:rRNA from 1 species